rnacentral:rRNA from 1 species
CGGACGGGUGAGUAACACGUGGAUAACCUACCUAUAAGACUGGGAUAACUUCGGGAAACCGGAGCUAAUACCGGAUGAUAUUUUGAACCGAAUGGUUCAAAAGUGAAAGACGGUCUUGCUGUCACUUAUAGAUGGAUCCGCGCUGCAUUAGCUAGUUGGUAAGGUAACGGCUUACCAAGGCAACGAUGCAUAGCCGACCUGAGAGGGUGAUCGGCCACACUGGAACUGGGACACGGUCCAG